GACAGAGGAUGCAAGCGUUAUCCGGAAUGAUUGGGCGUAAAGCGUCUGUAGGUGGCUUUUUAAGUCUGCCGUCAAAUCCCAGGGCUUAACCCUGGACAGGCGGUGGAAACUACCAAGCUGGGGUACGGUAGGGGCAGGGGGGAAUUUCCGGUGGAGCGGUGAAAUGCGUAGAGAUCGGAAAGAACACCAACGGCGAAAGCACUCUGCUGGGCCGACACUGACACUGAGAGACGAAAGCUAGGGGGAGCGAAUGGG
rnacentral:rRNA from 1 species